rnacentral:rRNA from 1 species
UAUAGAUACCCUGGUAGUCCACGCCGUAAACGAUGAGUGCUAAGUGUUAGAGGGUUUCCGCCCUUUAGUGCUGAAGUUAACGCAUUAAGCACUCCGCCUGGGGGAGUACGGCCGCAAGGCUGAAACUCAAAGAAUUGACGGGGGCCCGCACAAGCGGUGGAGCAUGUGGUUUAAUUCGAAGCAACGCGAAGAACCUUACCAGGUCUUGACAUCCUCUGACAACCCUAGAGAUAGGGCUUCCCCUUCGGGGGCAGAGUGACAGGCGGUGCAUGGUUGUCGUCAGCUCGUGUCGUGAGAUGUUGGGUUAAGUCCCGCAACGAGCGCAACCCUUGAUCUUAGUUGCCAUCAUUCAGUUGGGCACUCUAAGGUGACUGCCGGUGACAAACCGGAGGAAGGUGGGGAUGACGUCAAAUCAUCAUGCCCCUUAUGACCUGGGCUACACACGUGCUACAAUGGACGGUACAAAGAGUCGCGAGACCGCGAGGUGGAGCUAAUCUCAUAAAAACCGUUCUCAGUUCGGAUUGUAGGCUGCAAC